GACGAACGCUGGCGGCGUGCCUAACACAUGCAAGUCGAACGGUCCGGCACUCAACCGACCCUCAGUCUAACUGUAGGUGAAGUUGAGUGCCGGAUAGUGGCGGACGGGUGAGUAACGCGUGGGCAACCAACCCUGUACAGUGGGAUAACACCGGGAAACCGGUGCUAAUACCGCAUGACACCUAGAUGGUGCAUACUGUUUAGGUUAAAGGGCAAAACCGGUACGGGACGGGCCCGCGUCCCAUUAGCUGGUUGGUGAGGUAACGGCUCACCAAGGCGACGAUGGGUAGCCGACCUGAGAGGGUGGCCGGCCACACUGGGACUGAGACACGGCCCAGACUCCUACGGGAGGCAGCAGUGGGGAAUAUUGCGCAAUGGACGGAAGUCUGACGCAGCGACGCCGCGUGAGCGACGAAGGCCUUCGGGUCGUAAAGCUCUGUUCUUGGGGACGAAGGAAAUGACGGUACCCAAGGAGAAAGCCCCGGCUAACUACGUGCCAGCAGCCGCGGUAAGCAUACUCGUA
rnacentral:rRNA from 1 species